rnacentral:rRNA from 1 species
UACGUAGGGCGCAAGCGUUAUCCGGAAUUAUUGGGCGUAAAGAGCUCGUAGGCGGUUUGUCGCGUCUGCUGUGAAAACUCGGGGCUUAACCCCGGGCCUGCAGUGGGUACGGGCAGACUAGAGUGCGGUAGGGGAGACUGGAAUUCCUGGUGUAGCGGUGAAAUGCGCAGAUAUCAGGAGGAACACCGGUGGCGAAGGCGGGUCUCUGGGCAGUAACUGACGCUGAGGAGCGAAAGCGUGGGGAGCGAACAGG